GACGAACGCUGGCGGCGUGCUUAACACAUGCAAGUCGAACGGAAAGGCCCUGCUUUUGUGGGGUGCUCGAGUGGCGAACGGGUGAGUAACACGUGAGUAACCUGCCCUUGACUUUGGGAUAACUUCAGGAAACUGGGGCUAAUACCGGAUAGGAGCUCCUGCUGCAUGGUGGGGGUUGGAAAGUUUCGGCGGUUGGGGAUGGACUCGCGGCUUAUCAGCUUGUUGGUGGGGUAGUGGCUUACCAAGGCUUUGACGGGUAGCCGGCCUGAGAGGGUGACCGGCCACAUUGGGACUGAGAUACGGCCCAGACUCCUACGGGAGGCAGCAGUGGGGAAUAUUGCACAAUGGGCGGAAGCCUGAUGCAGCAACGCCGCGUGCGGGAUGACGGCCUUCGGGUUGUAAACCGCUUUCGCCUGUGACGAAGCGUGAGUGACGGUAAUGGGUAAAGAACACCGGCUAACUACGUG
rnacentral:rRNA from 1 species